rnacentral:lncRNA from 1 species
UUGAGCCAUUGCCAAGGCUUCAACACUCAGAUAACUGAACUCUAGAAUUCUGAUGCAGCUGGAUGAACUCUACAAUUUAGAGAAUGUUCCUUGAGCUUGCAAUUAGAACUUCUCUUCCUUCAUUUGUGCAGUGCUUUACCACUUCUGUUUGCCUUGACUUACAUUAGGUACUGACAACUUGUCCGAUUACUCUGGCCCUCCUUAACUUCAAGACUUAUCAAAUUUAUCAUGCUCAGUCUCUUUCUCUUUGUGAUCUCCCGUUCACAUAUCAUCAAUGGUCUGACCCAUGUUUAAUCUUCUAUGUCUAUUCUGUAUAGGUUGUCCAGUGUCCCUGUUAAAUACCCCAUCAGUUUUUGCUUCUAACCUGGAAAGCACUACGAUCAUAGUUGUACCCA